ACGACGACGAUACACACAGUGCACACGUCGCGUGGAUUCGGUAAGACGGAGGGGGCUAGUAAGGCCAUAGCCACGGCCACCGAGUUGCGCUCACACAUUUUCUACUUUAACUACAACUACAACUACAACUACGCUAUGUAGAAUAAUGUUGAACUACUAAACACACUCGAAACUCUACACGCAGAGUGAGAUGGGUUUACAAUGUCAGUACUGAAUGCGUAGAGGUGUUUGCUAUUAUAGACAUUGCGGAGCUUUUUAAAUUACAAUCUACUCGACGCUUGGAAUUUAAUUUAGCACACAAUAGAUUUACUUGUCAGCACAACACUA